GGAAGCGGGGGCGGGGUGGCGCAGGAAGAGCGAGCGCGGGCUGUGGGCGGUGCGGGUGGCGCCGGCGUGAGCGCGCGUGGAGGCGGCACUCGGGGGGCAGCGGUCGGGGCCGCGGGCCCUCGAGGGGACGGUCCCGCAGGAGUGCGGUAAAGGAGCCGGUGGCUCCCGCACUAUUGCAGGGGAGCAGCAGCCUGAUAGCUAGAAAAUUAUGGCCCAAGGGUGGGCUUGCACCCACUUCUGUCCUUCAGGCAGAGGAAGCCGCUGUCAAGGUGGACCUGUUGUCAUUGGCUCUUCUUGCAUCUUCCCAGGAGGAACAGUGACAAGUGUCACCCAGGAUGGUGACGGCCGCCCUCCCAGACCUUCUGCCGCUCUUACAAUGUGCUGAGUCGCCUUGAACAUGUCUGAAGGUGUUUUCAGGUCGUGGCAGAGGAAAUUGUUCUCCAUACCCUGAAGUCAAAAGACACCCAGCCCUGAGCCCUGGGGAGCUCCACCGUGUCCUGGCCCACCACACCGCCGUCCCCGGCUGGUCCUCCUGGAGCGAGAAGCCCAGACUUGUGUGCCGCCUCACACGCUCACAGAUGGCUUCCCUGCCCAGGGCUGGCUGCUGCUAAUUUUGGCUGUUGGAGGCUCCGUGUGUGCUCUCUCUUUUUUUAAUUCCAUGUUUAUUUAAAGCCAGAUUUUGAAAUCUUG